UUCAGGAAAUGGGGCUAAUACCGGAUAGGAGCUCCUGCUGCAUGGUGGGGGUUGGAAAGUUUCGGCGGUUGGGGAUGGACUCGCGGCUUAUCAGCUUGUUGGUGGGGUAGUGGCUUACCAAGGCUUUGACGGGUAGCCGGCCUGAGAGGGUGACCGGCCACAUUGGGACUGAGAUACGGCCCAGACUCCUACGGGAGGCAGCAGUGGGGAAUAUUGCACAAUGGGCGGAAGCCUGAUGCAGCAACGCCGCGUGCGGGAUGACGGC
rnacentral:rRNA from 1 species